AUUGAACGCUGGCGGCAGGCCUAACACAUGCAAGUCGCACGAGUGGCGGACGGGUGAGUAAUGUCUGGGAAACUGCCCGAUGGAGGGGGAUAACUACUGGAAACGGUAGCUAAUACCGCAUACCAUCGGAUGUGCCCAGAUGGGAUGAGCUAGUGGGUGGGGUAACGGCUCACCUAGGCGACGAUCCCUAGCUGGUCUGAGAGGAUGAAAAGCCACACGGGAACUGAGACACGGUCCAGACUCCUACGGGGGGCAGCAGUGGGGAAUAUUGCACAAUGGGCGCAAGCCUGAUACAGCCAUGCCGCGGGUAUGAAGAAGGCCUUCGGGUUGUAAAGUACUUUCAGCGAGGAGGCGUUACUCGCAGAAGAAGCACCGGCUAACUCCGUGCCAGCCGCCGCGGUAAUUC
rnacentral:rRNA from 1 species